CCCAGGAGUGUGGGGCUCCUGCCCCCCAACUCAGUAAGGGGCGAGGCUCCCACUAGCUCCGUGGCAUGUGCAGCCCCAGCUGCACCUACAUGGCUGCAGCCGGCAUCUUUGCAGCAGCCACUCUGGAUGGGCCACUGCUGCCAUCAAUAACAGAACUCUCUGAUGCACUGGGGGAUAAAGAUUAUUAUAAAAACGUCAAUGCCUUGUGACUGCCUGUCCCAACCCAGCCUGAGAAAUGAAGCCUUCAUUGAUCUGCAAAGUUUAAAAUAAUGAUCAUGAAUCUUUCUUCCUUUGAGCAACUGAGCCCCCACAGACCAACUAAUUAAAGUCAAGUGUGGCAGAUUUUCAAAUGUG